rnacentral:rRNA from 1 species
AGCGAACGCUGGCGGCAGGCCUAAUACAUGCAAGUCGAACGGAUCCUUCGGGAUUAGUGGCGGACGGGUGAGUAACACGUGGGAACGUGCCCUUUGGUUCGGAACAACUCAGGGAAACUUGAGCUAAUACCGGAUAAGCCCUUCGGGGAAGAUUAUCGCCAUUGGAGCGGCCCGCGUCUGAUUAGCUAGUUGGUGGGGUAAAGGCCUACCAAGGCGACGAUCAGUAGCUGGUCUGAGAGGAUGAUCAGCCACACUGGGACUGAGACACGGCCCAGACUCCUACGGGAGGCAGCAGUAGGGAAUCUUGCGCAAUGGGCGAAAGCCUGACGCAGCCAUGCCGCGUGAAUGAUGAAGGUCUUAGGAUUGUAAAAUUCUUUCAGCGGGGACGAUAAUGACGGUACCGCAGAAGAAGCCCCGGCUAACUUCGUGCCAGCAGCCGCAGUAAC